rnacentral:lncRNA from 1 species
UCUGGAUGUUGGAUACUAUUGCUAGAUGGUCACUUUGAUUGGUAUAGAAAGAUUAUUUCUGUGCUACCAACUUAAGUUCGAACCUAUGGGGUCACACUCAAAAAAAAUUUCUGACUGAUCAUAUGGUUGAUCGAUGAAUAAGAAUCAUUCUAGGAUUAAUCAUCAAUUUGAUCGAUGAUUAAUCUUAUGCAAAAGUUAUAAUAAAUUAAUUUACUAAUCAU